rnacentral:lncRNA from 1 species
AUGUCAACAUACACAACUAUUCAGUUACCGCACUGGGUUGGUAACAACCUAAAAAUCCGCUUCGUAUACCUGGCAAAUAGAAGCUCAUUCAAAGUGACGAGCUGUCCUAUCGAGGGACCAAUGGUUCCUCUCUUUUUAGGGGCUGAUCUCUUCUCCAACACUGAAAUCCGUACAGAGAACCAUCCCCGGUAUCACGCAAAGUUUGCAAAGAAAGGAUUGGCAACAAAACUGCAUUUCUCUUCUGCUUUUAGAUUCCAUGGCCUGAGGGUUCCUACUGGCAGCAAUUGCCUAUGGUUCUACAGCAUCCAAGGUGUUUUUCGAGUGGCCUUUGAAAUGUACAAUAAACAAGAGCAGCUGUCUGUAUUGGAGAACUUUCAGGAGUUAUGGAAGUCCCGCCUAAAUGACAUUCCAUUAAAGAUGAACUACAGUCUCACUGUUCAGCUGGAUCCUCUGCCAUCCCAGGUCAUUGUGGACAUGUAUGACCAAGAAUUAAAGCUCAAACUGAUGUCUCAGAGCCUCCAAGGUAACCUACAUGAAGCUGUGGAUAUCCCCCAGACUGACACUGGCUCACCAGUGUUCACUUCAGCAGAUCACGAUUACUGCACACUCACAGAUAAGAGUUUGCUGGCACAGCCAGUCCACCUCUGUGCCUCAGUCUUAAGUAAGAAACUACAGGCCUUGGAGGCAAAGCUCAGCUCAGACCAAACUCUCGGGACCAACCAGCUGGAGACCAUCCUGCUUCUUUUGGAAAACAUUGAGCGCUGUGUGAGCAGGCCCCUGGAGGAAAGGGAUGUGGCAGAGACUGUAAUAACUCUGCUUGAUGCUCAGAAGUUGAGGUCUGUGUACUCCAGCCACUUGCUUUAUUCCAUAGGCCGCUGGCUUGGCCAGCAGUUUCAUGCGGCCAACAGCUGUAUCAGCCAGCAGGUAGAGGACUUCAAGGUGCGGCACAUAGAGAGAAUCACAGAUCUGCCACCUGCAGAGGAACUGGCCUCAGAACUGUUUCCAGAGGCAAUGCGAACUCUGCUACUGCACUGGAUGGGUCUGAGUAAUGAUUCAACCCUGUGGAAGAGACAAUGCGAGUACCCCAUUCUGCUACUAAUCCUGGAAUUUGCCAACCACAACCUUAUCACUGGUGUGGCACAUGUACUUUACUCAAGUCUUAAGGUCAAUUUAGAUCCACCUGAUUCGGAAAGUUUAGGUACAACUUCUUUUAUGUGA